UUGACGUCAUCACUCCACCAGAAU
rnacentral:siRNA from 1 species